UCUGCUUCAUAUAAAUUAAAGAUUUUUGGCGAGUUGCUUUGUUGAUAUCUACAUUGCUAUAUCCCACCAAUAUUGAUUGCACUCAAGAUAUUAUAGACAAGCACUUUCAGCUGGACAAGAGAAAAGACCUGUUUGUAUCAGUUGAGAAUGCCAUUGUUAAAUUAGGCUGUUUAUGAACACACUCUCAAAUGUUUGGAAGAAUUAGCUCAAAUAGGUCUCGAGAAAGUUUGGGAUUUAAAGCCAUUGGUUAAUGGGAAGGCUAUCAUGGAUGUUUUGCAGCUUAAAGUCGGAGGGCCACUUGUUAGGGAA